GACGAACGCUGGCGGCGUGCUUAACACAUGCAAGUCGAACGGAAAGGCCCUGCUUUUGUGGGGUGCUCGAGUGGCGAACGGGUGAGUAACACGUGAGUAACCUGCCCUUGACUUUGGGAUAACUUCAGGAAACUGGGGCUAAUACCGGAUAGGAGCUCCUGCUGCAUGGUGGGGGUUGGAAAGUUUCGGCGGUUGGGGAUGGACUCGCGGCUUAUCAGCUUGUUGGUGGGGUAGUGGCUUACCAAGGCUUUGACGGGUAGCCGGCCUGAGAGGGUGACCGGCCAGAUUGGGACUGAGUUACGGCCCAGACUCCUCCGAGAGGCAGCAGUGGGGAAUAUUGCACAAGGGGCGGCAGCCUGAUGCAGCAACGCCGCGUGCGGGAGGACGGCCUUCGGGUUGUAAACCGCUUUCGCCUGUGACGAAGCGUGAGUGACGGUACUGGGUAAAGAAGCACCGGCUAACUACGU
rnacentral:rRNA from 1 species